rnacentral:rRNA from 1 species
UGGGGAAUAUUGGUCAAUGGGCGGGAGCCUGAACCAGCCAAGCCGCGUGAGGGAAGAAGGCCCUAUGGGUCGUAAACCUCUUUUGUCAGGGAACAAAAGCGAGUAUGUAUACUAGUCGUGAGUGUACCUGAAGAAAAAGCAUCGGCUAACUCCGUGCCAGCAGCCGCGGUAAUACGGAGGAUGCGAGCGUUAUCCGGAUUUAUUGGGUUUAAAGGGUGCGUAGGCGGCGGUGCAAGUCAGCGGUAAAAGCCCGGGGCUCAACCCCGGCGAGCCGUUGAAACUGCAGUGCUAGAGAAGGCGAGAGGUACGCGGAAUGCGCAGUGUAGCGGUGAAAUGCUUAGAUAUUGCGCAGAACUCCGAUUGCGAAGGCAGCGUACUGGCGCCUGACUGACGCUGAGGCACGAAAGCGUGGGGAUCGAACAGGAUUAGAUACCC